rnacentral:rRNA from 1 species
GAUGAACGCUGGCGGCGUGCCUCAAACAUGCAAGUCGAGCGAGGCUAUGAAUUACCGCAAGGUAAGGCAUAGCCUAGCGGCGAACGGGUGAGUAACACGUGGGUAACCUACCUGGAAGACAGGGAUAACGAUUCGAAAGGGUCGCUAAUACCUGAUAAUAUCCAUCUGCCGGAUGGCGGAGGGAAGAAAGGGGAAACCCGCUUUCAGAUGGGCCCGCGUCCCAUCAGCUAGUUGGUAAGGUAAAGGCUUACCAAGGCGACGACGGGUAGCCGGUCUGAGAGGAUGUACGGCCACACUGGGACUGAGAUACGGCCCAGACUCCUACGGGAGGCAGCAGUUGGGAAUCUUAGGCAACUGGACGAAAGUCUGACCUAGCGACGCCGCGUGAGGGAAGAAGGCCUCGGGUUGUAACCGUACUGUCAUGGGGGAAGAAGGAAGUGACGGUACCCCGAAGACGGAAGCCCCUGCUAACUACGUGCCAGCAGCCGCGGUAAGUAGUCACGUCG